CAGAUGCAGUAUAAUGUGGAUAAAUGUGAGGUUAUCCAUUUUGGUUGCAAAAACAGGAAGGCAGAUUAUUAUGGCGUUAAGUUAGGAAAAGGGGAAGUACAGUGGGAUCUGGGGGACCUUGUUUAUCAGUCUAUGAUAGAAAGUAUGCUGGUACAGCAGGCAGUGAAGAAAGCGAAUGGCAUGUUGGCCUUUAUAACAAGAGGAGUCGAGUAUAGGAGCAAAGAGGUCCUUCUGCAGUUGU